AUAAAACACAAACAGAAGUUGUUAUGUUAUUUUGACACAAAUACAUAUGAAUAAAUGACAUGUUGAUGU